GGGUCUGUGGGGUAGCCAGGAUAUCCUUAUGGCCUUCGAAGCCGGAGACCCGGGUUCAAAUCCCGGCAGACCCG
rnacentral:tRNA from 2 species